AUUGAACGCUGGCGGCAUGCUUUACACAUGCAAGUCGAACGGUAACAGGGUGCUUGCACCGCUGACGAGUGGCGAACGGGUGAGUAAUGCGUCGGAACGUGCCGAGUAGUGGGGGAUAACGCAGCGAAAGUUGUGCUAAUACCGCAUACGUACUGAGGUAGAAAGUGGGGGACCUUCGGGCCUCACGCUAUUCGAGCGGCCGACGUCUGAUUAGCUAGUAGGUGAGGUAAAGGCUCACCUAGGCGACGAUCAGUAGCGGGUCUGGGAGGAUGACCCGCCAAACUGGGACUGGGACACGGCCCAGACUCCUACGGGAGGCAGCAGUGGGGAAUUUUGGACAAUGGGCGAAAGCCUGAUCCAGCCAUGCCGCGUGUCUGAAGAAGGCCUUCGGGUUGUAAAGGACUUUUGUCAGGGAGGAAAUCCCUAGUGCUAAUAACACUGGGGGAUGACAGUACCUGAAGAAUAAGCACCGGCUAACUACGUGCCAGCCGCCGCAGUAA
rnacentral:rRNA from 1 species